rnacentral:rRNA from 1 species
AUAUUGCGCAAUGGGGGAAACCCUGACGCAGCAACGCCGCGUGAGUGAGGAAGGUCUUCGGAUUGUAAAACUCUUUUAUUUGGGAAAAAUGACCUAAUGGCUAAUAUCCAUUAGGAGUGAUGGUACCAAAGGAAUAAGCACCGGCUAACUUCGUGCCAGCAGCCGCGGUAAUACGAAGGGUGCAAGCGUUGUUCGGAAUCAUUGGGCGUAAAGCGAGCGCAGGCGGAUUGGUAAGUCAGAUGUGAAAUCUCGAAGCUCAACUUCGAAACUGCGUCUGAAACUACUAGUCUAGAAUGUCGGAGGGGAUAGGGGAAUUUCACGUGUAGGGGUAAAAUCCGUAGAGAUGUGAAGGAACACCGGAGGCGAAGGCGCCUAUCUGGACGACUAUUGACGCUGAGGAUCGAAAGCGUGGGGAGCAAACAGG